UUGUAGGGCACCUCUUGCUUGGCAGGUAAAGGGGACACUAGCUAGCAUAACAUCCCAAUAACUUGCUUGCCAAAGGAGAGUUGCCCUGUGACU
rnacentral:pre_miRNA from 1 species